rnacentral:rRNA from 1 species
AUUGAACGCUGGCGGCAUGCCUUACACAUGCAAGUCGAACGGUAACGCGGGGCAACCUGGCGACGAGUGGCGAACGGGUGAGUAAUACAUCGGAACGUGCCCAGUAGUGGGGGAUAGCCCGGCGAAAGCCGGAUUAAUACCGCAUACGACCUACGGGUGAAAGCAGGGGAUCGCAAGACCUUGCGCUAUUGGAGCGGCCGAUGUCAGAUUAGGUUGUUGGUGGGGUAAAAGCCUACCAAGCCGACGAUCUGUAGCUGGUCUGAGAGGACGACCAGCCACACUGGGACUGAGACACGGCCCAGACUCCUACGGGAGGCAGCAGUGGGGAAUUUUGGACAAUGGGCGCAAGCCUGAUCCAGCCACGCCGCGUGCAGGAGGAAGGCGCUCUGCGUUGUAAACUGCUUUAGCAGGGGAAGAAAGACUCAUGCGUGAGGAAUUGACGGUACCCUGAGAAUAAGCACCGGCUAACUACGUGCCAGCAGCCGCGGUAAU